AUUGAACGCUGGCGGCAGGCCUAACACAUGCAAGUCGAGCGGAUGAAGGGAGCUUGCUCCUGGAUUCAGCGGCGGACGGGUGAGUAAUGCCUAGGAAUCUGCCUGGUAGUGGGGGAUAACGUCCGGAAACGGGCGCUAAUACCGCAUACGUCCUGAGGGAGAAAGUGGGGGAUCUUCGGACCUCACGCUAUCAGAUGAGCCUAGGUCGGAUUAGCUAGUUGGUGGGGUAAAGGCCUACCAAGGCGACGAUCCGUAACUGGUCUGAGAGGAUGACCAGUCACACUGGAACUGAGACACGGUCCAGACUCCUACGGGAGGCAGCAGUGGGGAAUAUUGGACAAUGGGCGAAAGCCUGAUCCAGCCAUGCCGCGUGUGUGAAGAAGGUCUUCGGAUUGUAAAGCACUUUAAGUUGGGAGGAAGGGCAGUAAGUUAAUACCUCGCUGUUUUGACGUUACCAACAGAAUAAGCACCGGCUAACUUCGUG
rnacentral:rRNA from 1 species